AUUGAACGCUGGCGGCAGGCCUAACACAUGCAAGUCGAGCGGAUGAAGAGAGCUUGCUCUCUGAUUCAGCGGCGGACAGGUGAGUAAUGCCUAGGAAUCUGCCUGGUAGUGGGGGACAACGUUUCGAAAGGAACGCUAAUACCGCAUACGUCCUACGGGAGAAAGUGGGGGAUCUUCGGACCUCACGCUAUCAGAUGAGCCUAGGUACGAUUAGCUAGUUGGUGAGGUAAGGCUCACCAAGGCGACGAUCGUUAACUGGUCUGAGAGGAUGAUCAGUCACACUGGAACUGAGACACGGUCCAGACUCCUACGGGAGGCAGCAGUGGGGAAUAUUGGACAAUGGGCGAAAGCCUGAUCCAGCCAUGCCGCGUGUGUGAAGAAGGUCUUCGGAUUGUAAAGCACUUUAAGUUGGGAGGAAGGGCAGUAAGUUAAUACCUUGCUGUUUUGACGUUACCGACAGAAUAAGCACCGGCUAACUUCGUGCCAGCCGCCGCAGUAAGAC
rnacentral:rRNA from 1 species